GGAGUCAAGACCUAUACCCUUGCACCGAAUCAAAACAUAUGGUUUGUCAUUUACAUGUAAAUACGAGAACUGAUUCAGGGCUGUUUGGGAUUGUUUAUUGAUCGGUUCGACUUUUGGCUGUUUAUUUUUCAGAAUCAAAUUGUGCUUAUAAUUAGGUUUAAGAAAAAGUGAGGUUUAAGAAAAAGUGAGAUGUUACUAGAGAGGAGAGGAGUUUUUGCUGGUUCAGAUCUGAUUAAAGCUGUUGAUCAUCUCUUAAAGUGGAGGGUUUGAAGUAAUGAAUAUGGUGGUUAUGUGCAUGAAUUGGCCAUGGUAGCCAAGUUAUUCUAUUGUUCUAUUGAUUAACUAGGUUACAACCCCGUGUAUUACACGGGUUGAAUAAAUGAAUUUUAUAUACCAAAUAAUAAAACAUUAUCUUUUUUAAAAGCCUCCUUUAUUGCACGGGUUAAAGAAAUGUAAUUUUAUAUAUUAAAUAAUAAAAUAAGUUAUAUCUAUAAGAACCAUAUGUAUUGUACGGGUUGAAUAAAUGUAAUAUUAUAUACCAAAUAAUAAAAAAAAAAUUAUAUCUUUAAAACCAUUGUAUUACACGGGUUGAAUAAAUGUAAUAUUGUCUACCAAAUAAUAAAAAAAGGCUUUAUUUUUAAAAACCCCCGUGUAUUACAUGAGUUGAAUAAAUAUGAUUUUAUAUACCA
rnacentral:lncRNA from 1 species